GUUUUUUUUUGUUAGGUCAAGAGAGCAUAGGUUCUUUAUACUAUAUAAAGUGAUAGAAUUUUUUAUGUUUGGUACAUGCGAAUGAAAAAAAAUAUGACUAAAAUUCUCAAAUUUGUUUAUGUUGUGGUCAUUUUAAUUUCUCUAUUUCUUGUUGCAACUAACGCCGAAGCUCUUAAUUGUACUACCUGGCUCCAAUGUUUUACUACUCAUUGUUACCUUCAUGGAAAACCAUUAUGCGUGAACGGUCAAUGUUUAUGCGUUUAACAGUUAAGUCGAAAAUGAUUCUAUGUCUUCUAAGCCACCAAGUUUGUAUCUCAAGGUUUGAUUUUGCAGUUUGUGUUCAGAAAGACGAUUUUGAGGUUGUGUUGAAGAUAUUGACCAGAAUAUAGUUGUAAUUCAAACUGGAUAUGGACUUCUUCAACUUAAAUAACUUGUGGAUUAAUGCAUAUAUUUAUAAAAAUGAUUUUUAUAUGCUAUUGGUAUUUAUAAAAAACAAAGUUACAUGUAAAAAGAUAAAAUUUCCUGCAAAUUUAUCUGUUGUACCAUUUGUUGCAGAAGUAUGUUUGCAGAAAAUUUACUUGCAGAAUAAGCAGGAAAACCAUUAAAAAGCUAUAAUCAACGACCAAAUGUUGCGGAUAUCUUCACUUU